UGAUGGUUUCGGACAAAGACACUUGUCCUCCCUGCCCUGAGCUGGCCUGCAGCUGCUCUGCCGAGAAUCCCCAUAAGCCUGCCACUAAGUGAGCACCGAAAGGGCCCAAGAGAAGGGGCGUCUGUCUGCCGCUCAGGCUGGGAACUGUAGACGAGGAGCUGCUCCUUCGCAUACACAGGGAGCCUCAGGUUCCCGAGGAAACGGUGGGGUGUGGUACUGAGAAAGCAGGCCUGACGGAGUGUGGGGCUGUGUCCCCUCCAGACAGGCCAGCUGCUGGCUGUCCCCCCCUGGCCGGAGACUGCCUUGUACCGCAUGGUGCGCUGCCUCUCCUUGGAAUGGGGUCCUCCUGACCCUGCGCACAAACCGCAUGCACUUGGAGGUGCAGACAGCCAGCCCUGCUCCAUCUUGGUGCUAGGUGGGGUGUGAAGGUGACUGUCGGGGCCUCAGUGUCAACUCUGGGUCCAGACAUCGUGGCUCCCUUCCUUGGAAUGAUGCUAGAGCAACUAUCAACUCACAAGGCCUCCUUUCUUUCCUAAUCAUCAGGUAUGAAGAGAUUCAUUUGCCACAGUUUUCCCUGAUGCACAGAAUGAUUCCGAUGCGUUACGUUAUGCCUUGGAAAGAAAACAUGAAAUUCAGGAAUGUGAACCUGAAGGAAGCUACCAAGAAGGGGAAUCCUGAGAGUAAGAAGUGAUUUUUAGGACCCACAUUUAAUCACAAUACCAUAAUAUAGUGAACCAGAUGCGGGUCACACCCCACAGCCAGGCCAGAAUGCUGCUCGUCAGAAGGAAAGGAGCAGAGUCAGAACCUCAAGUAGCUGCUGCCUGUACAGCGAGACUUGUAAGAGUCGCACCAUAAUGAGACCGGUUUAAUGCCUGAAAUUGGCAAAAGCUCUCACUCACUGGUGGGCUUUUUGUGAGUUCUUUUUCUUUCUUUGGUGCCGCCGAAUGAACCCAGGGCCUCUCUCACGCUAGGCGAGUGCUGUGCCACGCAUUUGCUUAAUGUUUUGUUCAAAACUCCAAGAACUCUUCAAUAUUCCCAUUUUAUAGGUGAAAAACUGAAUUGUGGGGGGAGUUGUAGGUGAUCUUUCCAAGUUCACGUAAGCAGGGAGCGAAAGUUCAAAAACCCAACUGCAGAUGUAUCUGUCACCUUUGUGACUGCCGUCUCCCUGGUACUUCAUGGUAGUAACACUGACCCCGAAGACUUCUGCCCUGAUGUCCGUCAGACAGAAAAGCUCAUCAGGAAGCAGGGUCUCCCCGUGGGCCCUCAGACCGCCUUUGUCUCCCGGGCUCGCCCUACCUCAAGCCUUCCGAGUGCUGUGUGUGCCACCAUGGCCGGCCGACACUUCCGUCUUAAUCUAACGAGAGAAGGGUGUUUGCUGUGAUGCAGCAUUAAGCAGAGGUUUCUG